AGAGUUUGAUCCUGGCUCAGGAUGAACGCUGACAGAAUGCUUAACACAUGCAAGUCUACUUGAAGUAACUUCGGUUAUGGAUGGUGGCGGACGGGUGAGUAACGCGUAAAGAACUUGCCCUUUAGCCUGGGACAACUGUUGGAAACGACAGCUAAUACCGGAUAUUAUGAAACCAAGGCAUCUUGGAUUUAUGAAAGCUAUAUGCGCUAGAGGAGAGCUUUGCGUCCUAUUAGCUAGUUGGUGAGGUAAUGGCUCACCAAGGCGACGAUAGGUAGCCGGCCUGAGAGGGUGAACGGCCACAAGGGGACUGAGACACGGCCCUUACUCCUACGGGAGGCAGCAGUGGGGAAUAUUGGACAAUGGACCAAAAGUCUGAUCCAGCAAUUCUGUGUGUUUGAUGAAGGCCUUCGGGUUGUAAAGAACUUUAAGUAGGGAAGAAGAAAGUGACGGUACCUACAGAAUAAGCGACGGCUAAAUACGUGCCAGCAGCCGCGGUAAUACGUAUGUCGCAAGCGUUAUCCGGAAUUAUUGGGCAUAAAGCGCGUCUAGGCGGUUUACUAAGUCUGAUGUGAAAAUGCGGAGCUCAACUCCGUAUUGCGUUGGAAACUGGUAGACUAGAGUAUUGGAGAGGUAGGCGGAACUACAAGUGUAGAGGUGAAAUUCGUAGAUAUUUGUAGGAAUGCCAAUGACGAAGGUAGCUUACUGGACAAAUACUGACGCUGAAGCGCGAAAGCUAGGGGAGCAAACAGGAUUAGAUACCCUGGUAGUCCUAGCUGUAAACGAUGAUCACUGGGUGUGGGGGGUCGAACCUCUGUGCCGAAGUUAAUGCGAUAAGUGAUCCGCCUGGGGAGUACGGCCGCAAGGUUAAAACUCAAAGGAAUUGACGGGGACCCGCACAAGCGGUGGAUGAUGUGGAUUAAUUCGAUGCAACGCGAAAAACCUUACCUACCCUUGACAUGUCU
rnacentral:rRNA from 1 species